rnacentral:rRNA from 1 species
GAUGAACGCUGGCGGCGUGCCUAAUACAUGCAAGUCGAGCGAACGGACGAGAAGCUUGCUUCUCUGAUGUUAGCGGCGGACGGGUGAGUAACACGUGGAUAACCUACCUAUAAGACUGGGAUAACUUCGGGAAACCGGAGCUAAUACCGGAUGAUAUUUUGAACCGCAUGGUUCAAAAGUGAAAGACGGUCUUGCUGUCACUGAUAGAUGGAUCCGCGCUGCAUUAGCUAGUUGGUAAGGUAACGGCUUACCAAGGCAACGAUGCAUAGCCGACCUGAGAGGGUGAUCGGCCACACUGGAACUGAGACACGGUCCAGACUCCUACGGGAGGCAGCAGUAGGGAAUCUGCCGCAAUGGGCGAAAGCCUGACGGAGCAACGCCGCGUGAGUGAUGAAGGUCUUCGGAUCGUAAAACUCUGUUAUUAGGGAAGAACAUAUGUGUAAGUAACUGUGCACAUCUUGACGGUACCUAAUCAGAAAGCCACGGCUAACUACGUG